rnacentral:rRNA from 1 species
CUACGGGGUGCAGCAGUGGGGAAUAUUGCACAAUGGAGGAAACUCUGAUGCAGCAACGCCGCGUGGAGGAUGACACUUUUCGGAGCGUAAACUCCUUUUAUAUAGGAAGAAGAUGACGGUACUAUAUGAAUAAGCGCCGGCUAACUCCGUGCCAGCAGCCGCGGUAAUACGGAGGGCGCAAGCGUUACUCGGAAUCACUGGGCGUAAAGAGCGUGUAGGCGGAUUAAAAAGUCAGAAGUGAAAUCCUAUAGCUUAACUAUAGAACUGCUUCUGAAACUCUUAAUCUAGAAUAUGGGAGAGGUAGAUGGAAUUUCUGGGGUAGGGGUAAAAUCCGUAGAGAUCAGAAGGAAUACCGAUUGCGAAGGCGAUCUACUAGAACAUUAUUGACGCUGAGACGCGAAAGCGUGGGGAGCAAACAGGAUUAGAUACCCCUGUGUC